GACGAACGCUGGCGGCGUGCUUAACACAUGCAAGUCGAGCGAUGGCGCCUAGUUUGAUUGGUGGGUUAGUGGCGAACGGGUGAGUAAUUCGUGAGUAACCUACCUUUACCUCUGGGAUAAGCCCGGGAAAGAGGGUCUGAUACCGGCUACGAGCAAUCUCCGCAUGGGGUGUUGGUGGUAAGAGGUAUGUCUUGGUUAUAGAUGGGCGGACGGCCGAUCAGCUUGUUGGGGAGGUAACGGCCCACAAAGGCGACGACGGGUAGGCGGCCGGAGAGGGUGACCGGCCACAGUGCGACUGAGACACGGCCCAGACUCCGACGGGUGGCAGCAGUGGGGAAUAUUGCACAAUGGGCGCAAGCCUGAUGCAGCGACGCCGCGUGAGGGAUGACGGCCUUCGGGUUGUAAACCUCUGUUAGCAGUGAAGAAGAGAGAUUGACGGUACCUGCAGAGAAAGCACCGGCUAACUACGUG
rnacentral:rRNA from 1 species